CCAUUUGCUGUAUAAGCUCCGAGUGUCUUUUUGCAUGUUUUAAAAUAUGCUCUGAAUUUCCUAGGAAUUAUCCUACCGUAUAAAUCAAGGGAAAGUGGCACUGCAUUUUGUUUGAAACUUUACCUAGAGUUGUUCACCAUUUUGGAAAAUCAUGCAGUCAGUGCAAUGGCCUCGUGUUGGUUUUACUUUUAAAACCUAAGUGUGGAACACUCAAGAAAUGUGUGUGACCUGGUGCCUGAGAGAGGGCACCUCAGUUGCCAAACAACAGGACACAGAGGAUAGUGACAAGGUGAGGACGAUGGUAUAUCCACACCCUUCAGGCAUGUGCAGAAGAGACAACUGAGGCUCAGCAACACUGUGGCACUGGACUGCUGGAUCCCCUGCCUUGCCUGUGUCUUCAAUUCUCAGCACAUGGUAGCUGCAUUGGGAAGGGGACUUGGACUCUGGAGAAGGCAGGCCCAGACACUGCAACAAACUCACAGCUUCACAAAGAUCCAGCCAGGGCCAGUGCCUUAGAGAUCCACCAGCAAGACCCAUGGACCCAAGUUCAAAAUAUACCUGGAAUUGACCGACUUCUCUUCUACUAUUGCAGACCAAGCCUUCAUUCCCUCAUUAUCUUCUAAUUUGAUCAUGCAAUCGUGUUCAAACUGGUUUCACUUCCACUGCUCCUGCGGUGCCCCGCACCACCACACCCAUUCACCACACAGCAGCCAGGGUGGUCUUUGUAAAACAUAGAUGGAUCACAUCACUUCUCUGCUUAAACUCCUUCCGCAGUUCUCAAUUACACUCAGGAGAAAAUUCACCUCUUUCAACAGAAACUUCAAGGCCUUGAGUGAUCUCGCCCCUGUCUGUCGCCCUGACUCAUCUCCUGCUGCUCUUCCCUUUGGAGAUGCAGGCAGGAGACUGGCCAAUGUAUUCUACAUGAUGUCUCUAAAGAGUUUACAUUCUAAAUGGGGCACAGGUCUAAUUUAGAGAAAGCUUGUCAACAAACAGCCACGCUGCAGCUGUUUAGGUGCAAACCCAAGUGCUACAGGUAGAAAGAAAUAGGACAGCUGAGUGUGUCUUGCAGAACAGCUAGAGUAGAAGGAGCCAAGACUGUUGUGUACCACUGUGCACCCAACACGUGGCACAGUGCCUGGCAUAAGAAGCAAAUGAGUGACAUAUACAAAAGAUGAAAAUGAAUGAGUGACCUUCCUGCCCUACUGAUGCUCACAGCCUGGUGGGGAAGGCCAACUAAUAAACAAACGCUUGGUGGUAAGACACAGGAUGGCAGGGUACAUCCAAUGUACUCUAAAGGGUAUAUGG